UAUGCAGUCUAUAAAACACACUCAAGAUCUUGCAGGGUGUGAACAUGUGAGAUGGAAAUGACACCUGCUUCAUCACCUCUUAAAGGCGCAGGACGAAUAAAAUAAUAAUUAAAAAAACAGUCUUAAGGGCUUAGACACUCAGACACUGAAACUCCAAUUGCAGGAAGCAAAACAAAAUUACAUUAAUUAAAUAAAAAGUAAACAAGAACAUGUGAUGGUUGCAGCAGCAUCUUCUCAAAAUAAAUCUACACAGGGUAAAAUUCCAAAUUACUGGCAAAACUCUAAUCAUGCUGGGGGGGGAACUGGUUCCUCCUCCUGCUUUUUCUUUUUUAUAUCCUCAAACAGAUACAGAGCGUUUCCUCGUGGACGGGGAUGGCGUUUGGCUGGAUGUGGAUGAGGGCCAUGGGGCAAGGUCACGGAGCACGAGGCCAAGGGCCAAAGGACCGUGACAUGUGCUACCAGUGCGGACCUUUUGGACACUGGGCCAAACACUGUGUGAACAUACCAAAGACUGCCAGGUAUGAUCCCCAACAAUCCUUAUGUGAUUCCUGGACAUUGCUUUCAGGGGAAUACUGAGGCCACACAGAACAUCUACUGACACACUGCUGAGGACCCCGGAGACAAUGUGGGGACAGCAGACCCCAUGUUGUCUGCAACAGUGGAAGGAAAACACACAGACUUCCUGGUUGACACCGGAGCCACACAUUCCACUCUGAACUCUGAUCCUCCUUUUUUCUGACAUCAAGAACUGUGUCUUUAACAGGGUUCUCAGGGACUGAACAGUCUGCUAUUCACGAUGCCUCUGACCUUCACCUUGGGUAAUCAGAAUAUGAAACAUUCUUUUCAGCCUAAUGUCAACGUUCAUGGCCUGGAAGCCCUGGCUCCUGUGUCUGCGCUUCUGUGUUCCUCCUCCGGAUCCACCAUGUGACCCUGUUCCGCGACAGAGACGUCUCUGAAUGGUACCAGGAACCUUUCCUUUCCACUUUGAAGGAAACAACCUGGCAGGUAAAAGUCUCGGACAUUUAUGUAGCUCCUGUUGGUGUAGCUGCUGUUGUCUCUUUCGCAAAAAAAAAAAAAAAACAAAAACAAACAAUCAGAAUGGUAUUAAAUGUCUCACAUUUCUCUCUGUUUGCACCCUGAGCACCAAGUGAAAGAAUUGGGCGUGAUGAUGAAAUGUUCCCUGGCAGCCACAGAUUCGAUUGCCACAGCAGCACUAGGUUUGUUUUUCUCCCGCUCUCUUGAAAAAUAUAAGAUCAGUCAUUCAGGAUCUGAUCACAUAAUAAAUUUUGAAGUAAAAUGUAAUGCAAUUUUCCAUAAAUUAGUGACAUUAGGCAUUCUGAUGAGGCUCCUUGCUUUAUAAAAUUAACAAUCUUCAAACAUAUUUCCCAGCAUACCUACAUUUCUUAUUUAAAUAGUUUCUUUAUAUUGUUUGGUAAGAUAUUCAAAUUUAAUAUGUCAUAUUUCCAUUAACUGUGAGCAGAAAAUUAUUAUCAUUACUAGAAUUAAAGACUUUAGUUAAAAUAAAUUAACAUCUGAUAUGCAAUACAUAUAAAUAUUUUUAAGACGGACUAUUCCCUCAUAAUAGAAUUGAUUUUAGUUUAAUCAGGUUUUGCAAGAUAUUUUGCAGGACUGCCCACUAGACCUUUUGCUUGCUGCACCAACUAUGGAGACCUGCGUUAAAGCCACCUCAGUUCUUUGAGGAUAUUUCUGUAACAAAACUGACUGUUUUGUUUCAGAAAAAGGGGGAGGAAAAGGGCAUCACCCUUGUAUGCAACAGGCAGCUGGGAUACCCGAUACAAAAACUGAACACAUAGUCAUGGGACAUUCACUGAGUUUCACCAUGACAGCGUUGAGACAACAAACACUUUCCAAAGUCCUGAAAGCUCCAAACAUUUCAUUCACACACCAAGACAUAAAUAUGGCAGACUGUUUUUCAGAAGGAGAACCACACGUGUGUGCAGACCUGGUGGCAAAGACAGACAAGGUAACACCAGAACUUCAAGCAGCUCCUCUGCUGGGACCAGAGGUGAGACAGUUCUUUACAGAUGGUUGUUGUUUCAGAAGCAACACACAAGGGUUAAGAGCCUGGAAGAGGUGGUGAGAUGCCAAAAGGGGGCAUCACCUGAAGAGAAAAACGUGAAACAAAUGGGUGCUGGAGGGGCCCAGAUGGCAGGUUAAUUCUGCCUCCUGGGAAAAUAGGAGAGCUGCUCCAAGAGGCUCACGGGUUGGAUAUGUUGGGACGAAGCAGAUGAUGCACAAUCUUAAAGAGUGGUGGCACCUCAAAUGAUCCACAUGGUGAAACAUUUUGUGAAAAAUUGUUCGGUGUGCGGACAGCUGAAUCCUAAGAAAACUUUGAAUCCACAUCAGGGACAGUUUCCUUCAGUCACAUGUCCAGGGAAAGAAAUUGUGUUGGAUUUUACUGACAUGAUAAACCCGUUGCAAGACAAAAAUAUUUGCUGAUUUGUGUUGAUGCUUUCACAGGAUGGCCUGAAGCCUGGCCAGCAACAGCAGAAGAUAGUGAAAUCAUCAUAAAAUGUCUAAUCAAUCAUUACCUCCCAAGGCAAAGCAGAAUGAAUGAAUCAAAAUUUAAAACAAAAUUGGCUAAGGUUUGUGCACAAACAAAAUUAAAUUAGGUCAAUACAUUACACAGAAACCAACUUGUGGUUAGACUGAUUAACCGCAACAGCUCAAUAAUAUCAAAUGUCUAACUGUGUGACCUGCACAGCUGGACGACCCAGAAUGUACUGAACCUGCUUCUUUGAUUCCAUCUGACAUUUGGGGUUUUAACUGCAUGCUUAAUAUGACUAAGUUUAAACAGCCCUCUAGAUGUGACACUUUAACAGCUUUAUUUCCAGUAAUCAACAGCGGAGCCCGGAUGGUGCCCACUAUUCCAGUUAAAGAUAACUAGGUCUAUUUCAAUUUUACAACAGGUAACCGCAGUGUGGGCCGGAUCCCUGACAGUUGGUGUAACAUCAAAUUCCCAGGGCACUUAAUAGGCUAGAGAUGGGAUAUUUUAUUUAUGCAGGGGUAAUAAACUACUUGAGAGAAUAUAGACUGGUGUGACAGGUGUCUGUGCUAUGGUGAGACUUAGAGCCUGUGUCAUCAUGGUAGGGGAACAACAACCUCUGAAUCACAGCAUCUUUUCACAGGUCAAGUGCAGCGCAACUGUGGAGCUGCAACUUUCCAGAUUUUAAAUGUAAAAAGUCCAAUCCUUUCUCGGUGUGCCUGGAUGAAAAUGAGGCAUCUGGACACACGUAGAAACUGGUUGACAUUAACAGAUACUAGA